UACCAGCACCCCGAGUGGUCGGGACGAUUAUCGGGCCUAAAGCAUCCGUAGCCGGUCAUGCAAGUCUUCCGUUAAAUCCAGCCGCUCAACGGUUGGGCUGCGGAGGAUACUACGUGGCUAGGAGGCGGGAGAGGCAAGCGGUACUCAGUGGGUAGGGGUAAAAUCCUUUGAUCCAUUGAAGACCACCAGUGGCGAAGGCGGCUUGCCAGAACGCGCUCGACGGUGAGGGAUGAAAGCUGGGGGAGCAAACCGGG
rnacentral:rRNA from 1 species